AGAAUAUCUAGCUUUGUUGUGCAUAAAGAGGAAGUGAGGGGGCUGAGAAUUCGCCUCCCUUCCCAGGCUAUGAAAAGCCACUGGGCAGCGUGACCAUCCAGGAUUCUCUGGGAACCUUGAGACAGUGUUAUUUACCUAUCCUUCCCUCUCCAAGUUGCAGCUUUCCACACUCUUCUGCCUCCCCUGCACACACUUCCUUCUCUGCAUACACAAACACCAAUGUGGAGCUGUCCCUUCCUCUCUCCGGCUGUCCUUCCUCAUUGCUGACAUGGGCAGAGGCUGGGUGGUGCUCGGGAAUAAAAGGGCUUCUCCUUUGACCGGAUGAACCAGGUCAUGUGCAUGGCUGGUGCCCACCACCUUUCAAGAGCACCUGCUGACCUUACUCCGGAGUUGACCCACUGUGCAGCGAUCCCCAGUCCCCAUCUGGGGCAGAGGUAACAGUGAGGUCCUGUCAGAAGCAAAAGCAAGCUUGCUAAGGACCAAAAGAAGAUUCCUGGCUCCUGUUGUCUUUCUGAAGAUAAUGAGAGAGUUGGACAGACUAACAUCUGUGUGGACAGACUCGAAAGCCAGAAGGAAACAGGAACCCAUGGAGUGCAUGCUAGCUCCUAGCUGUGGGUCACAGAGAGGAGGACACGGAAUGAGUUAUAGGGAAGACUUGGAAAUACAUAUUCAUUAUCCUUUCUUAGGGUUACGUUGGAGAUAAAAAUGGGAUCUCAGGCACCUGAGCAGGUGUUCUUCCCCUGUGCCUCCCGUCCACCCACCACCGUAUCGAGGGCAUGCUUUCCUGGAAAAUAACUCAAAGGCCACGACAAAGCUACAGACAUUUCUCUGCUGGAACGAGUCCCUUCCUGCCAGGCCCUGGACCCCAAGUCCUCUCUUCUGUCUUUCUCUGCUUUUCAGUGCUCUGGCUACUCCCACAGGCCAUCAGCUGGGCUUAUGAGUAACAUGAAGCACCCAUCCUCUGGUGUCCUGAGUGAGCAUGGGCCAGUGCCCCAGGUCCUGCCAAGAUUGUGCUUUCAUUACCAAACUGCCCAGAAUGUAUGAGGAUAAGGAUUUGGGUCUGAUGCACUUCAGGAACAAAGUGCAGAAUGAACGGCUCUGACGGUGUACUUCAGAGUCAGGCCCAGGAAGAAUUCAAAUUCCUCGUCCCCAAGUCGGCCAUCUUGGGCAAAGACCCCUCUCAGCCUCGGUGUUUUGUCUGAAAACUUCAGUGAGGAGCCCUUGGUUGUCUACGUGCCUCAGGACUGCCAUCAGUCACUAACACGUGUCUCUUUACACCCUCCACAGCCCUACAGGGUAGCCUAUAUUAUCACAUUCUUUUUUGAUUAGAAAACAAACACAGAGAAAUAUUAAACCAUUUGUCUCGGGUUUUCCAACAUGGCA